rnacentral:rRNA from 1 species
AACGAACGCUGGCGGCAUGCCUAACACAUGCAAGUCGAACGAGACCUUCGGGUCUAGUGGCGCACGGGGCGUAACGCCGGGGGAACUUGCCCUUGGGUCGGGAAAACUUCCCGGAAGGGGGUCUUAAUCCCGGUAAUGUUUUUCGAACAAAGGAUUUAUCGCUUUUGGAUGGGCCCGCGUUGGUUUAGCUAGUUGGUAGGGUAAAAGCUUACCAAGGCGACGAUCCAUAGCUGGUCUGAGAGGAUGAUCAGCCACACUGGGACUGAGACACGGCCCAGACUCCUACGGGAGGCAGCAGUGGGGAAUAUUGGACAAUGGGCGAAAGCCUGAUCCAGCAAUGCCGCGUGAGUGAUGAAGGCCUUAGGGUUGUAAAGCUCUUUUACCCGGGAUGAUAAUGACAGUACCGGGAGAAUAAGCUCCGGCUAACUCCGU